rnacentral:misc_RNA from 1 species
UUUCCGUAGGUGAACCUGCGGAAGGAUCAUUAAUAAAUAGUCAACGUUUGAUGUUGACAUUAAUAAUCAUCCUACCCUUGUGAACUGAUAUAGUUGUAUAUUAUUAAGUGUCUUUCCCUAAUGGAAAAAAAGGUAAUGUUUUUGGAAGUUAGGGAUAGACUUUAAUAGACUUUUUUUUAAAAUAAACUUUUUGUAUUCAUUUGUCUAAAAUUUAUUUUAUAAUAUAAAACACUUUUGACAAUGGAUCUCUUGGUUCUCGCAACGAUGAAGAACGCAGCAAAAUGCGAUAAGUAGUGUGAAUUGCAGAAUACGUGAAUCAUCGAAUCUUCGACGCAUAAUGCACUUUUUAGUUUACUAAAAAAGUAUGUCUGUUGAGUAUCAGUAAAAUAUUCUCAUAAAAAAAUAUUAUUUUUAUGGUUAUGAGUGUUUACAACGAUAAACAAGUUGUUUCACUUUAAAUUUUUUUUAAAUUGAAAUUUUUCUAAUUUUAAUAAAUGGAUAAAAUUUCCUUACCAAAGGAAUAACCUAAGCAAUUUUAUUUACUUUAGAAUCCAAUUUCAUAAAAAGAAAAUUUAACAAUCAAAAUAACUUGAUCUCAAAUCAGAUAAGAGUACCCGCUGAACUUAAGCAUAUCAAUAAGCGGAGGAAAAGAAACUAACUAGGAUUCCCUCAGUAACGCGAGUGAAGCGGGAAGAGCUCAAAUUUGAAAUCUUCAAGGUUUUACCUUGACGAAUUGUAGUUUAAGAAGUGUUUUCUGUGAGUUUGGUAAAAGUUCUUUGGAAUAGGACAUCAUAGAGGGUGAGAAUCCCGUAUUUGACCAUUAUUUCCAGCUUUGUGAUACACUUUCAAAGAGUCGGAUUGUUUGGGAUGCAGUCCAAAAUGGGUGGUAAAUUCAUCUAAAGCUAAAUAUUGGCGAGAGACCGAUAGCGAACAAGUACCGUGAGGGAAAGAUGAAAAGAACUUUGAAAAGAGAGUUAAACAGUACGUGAAAUUGUCAAAAGGGAAGCGUUUGACACCAGUGUUGUUUCUACGAAAAUCAAUUUAUGAUGGCUUGAUGCUAAGCUUAAGACUUUAUCCGCUUGUGUUUAGUUUUCUUGUCUUUGUGAUUGCACUUUUCGUGGAACAAGUCAACAUCAAUUUCUUUUGCUGUAAAAGGGUAAGAGGAGGUGGCUUCGGCUUCGGUUGAAGUGUUUAUAGCCUUUUAUCUCUGCAGUCGGAGAGAUUGAGGUCUGCAGCGUAGACUCUUCGGGGUUAGAUACGUCGGUGCUAAGCUAUAGCUUUUCAUAGACAACUUGUUGACUAUGUUUAGUCAUGUGGCUACCCGCUGGCGCUAUUUUACCUACGCUUAGGAUGUUG